GGAGGUGUGGUCUUCUUAGAACAGGUGUGGCCUUGUUGGAAGAAGUGUGUCAUUGUGGGGUUGGGCAAUGAGACUCUCCUCCUAACCAAGU